GGGGUGUAGCUCAGUGGUAGAGCAUGUGCUUAGCAUGCAUGAGGCCCUGUGUUCAAUCCCCAGCAUCCAACA
rnacentral:tRNA from 1 species